UAGCGGCAUCAGCAUGUAAUUCUGGUACGUGUCAAUCACAGCAAUGCUCUUGCUGCAACCUCCCUCUUUUCAACCUUUUCUUAUCAAAUCAAAUCUAAUCUCUGACUGCUCUCUUCAGGCUCACUCUCCUUUAAUCUCAAAUUCUCUUUUGUGCAGGAUGCCAGUGAUUAAAUGUGUGCUUUUCAGCAUGUGAUUGUCGGAGAAAGAAGCUUUAUUGGUGGAGAAUGGUGUCUCUGAUGUCUUUGUCUCAAGAGUUGAUGGCUACGAUGAUGAUCUUGGUGACAAAGCCCUUUUGCCUUUGCAAAUCAGCAAUUCUGUUUUGUUUAAAAACCACUUUUUUCGUCGUUUAUAGCUGGAUAGACCUGGUCAAUGCCACUACCAGCUUCCAUGUCAACAUGAUUUGCAGAACAAUGUCUUGGACAGUUGCUCUUAUAAGUCUUCCUCUUCGAGUUUUUACCGCCCUGCAGAGGGAAACAGUGCUGGAACAGCAACUGCAUGAAAUGCAGUUAGAGUUAGAGACCCUUGCCUGGGAUAGAAAGGAACUCGAAGGUCAUCUUCAGACAGCCAUUGAAGAACAUAAAAGUAUGGAGUCCAUGCUAGCUGAACUUGAAGAUGAAAAUGACAAGGCUAUGGCAAAAAUUGAAUUAUUAGAGGGCAAGUUGCAGUGUAUGAAGGAUGAAACUCUUCAGCUUAAGGAAAUUUGCAGUAAAGAACGGUGGAGUCUUAAAGUUAAUGAUAAAGUCAGUGGACGAAAAGUUGGUGUUGCUGCUGACAACUAUGACAUUUCCUAUGGAUGUCCAUCAUGGAAAUCCAAUUUUAAGGGGACUGACUUCUUUUUUCAAGACAUGAUGAUGCACAAAGACUCUUGGGCCAGUGAAAGCAUGAGUAAUGCUGAAUUUCUCAAUAUCUUAAAGACUGGAAUUGCGGCAAGCAGUGGGUCCAUCCACUCCUACACGCCUGGUGUUAUCCCAAGAAAUAUAGAAAUGAAUGAAGUGCUUGACCAGAGAAGGGGAGUUGCUCUUUUGCAGUCUCUUUUUAGCGCAGGGUUGUCGCUUUUGGUCGGAAUGAUUAUCUGGGAAGCUGAAGACCCUUGCAUGCCACUUGUGGUAGCUCUUUUCACAGUGGUCGGCAUUUCACUGAAAAGCGUCGUUCAUUUUUUCUCCACCAUAAAGAACAAACCUGCUUCUGAUGCCGUGGCUCUAUUAAGCUUCAACUGGUUUAUACUUGGCACACUUACAUGCCCAACGCUGCCAAAGGUUGCCCGCGUGUUGGCUCCCCUCACAUUCAGGUUUGUAGGUCAGACAGUGAGCUGGUUUGGUUUCUCAACACACUAGCUUGAUCUCACUCAGAUUCCUGGAAAUCACCCAACCAUGUAUCAUGUCUGACCAUAGAUAAAGCAGUCACCCAGAGCUUGUAUAGUAAAAGCUUCCUUUCACUUUCUUUGUCAUGUCAAUAUCCGCCUGGCACAAUUUUCACUCGUUGAACAAAGGAGACUUAAAUAUGGAAAAUCUAUGUUGAGACUUCAAUUUACUCCCGUCUAAGUUUUUUGGAUGUAAUUGUUACUUGAGUGAUGCAGGUUUUAUGUGUAGACACAGAUGUUCUGCAGUCUGCACCGUGCGUUAAUAUUAAGAAGAAGUAGCAAUUUGUGGACA